GCCGGGCGCGGCGGCGCCUGCCUGUGGUCCCAGCUACUCGGGAGGCUGCGGUGGGAGGAUCGCUUGAGUCCGGGAGUUCUGGGCUGUAGUGCGCUAUGCCGUUUGGGUGUCCGCCCUGAGUUCAGCAUCAAUAUGGUGACCUCCCGGGAGCGGGGGACCACCAGGUCGCCUAAGGAGGGGCGAACCGGCCCAGGUUGGAAACAGAGCAGGUCAAAACUCCCGUGCUGAUCAGUAGUGGGAUCGCGCCUGUGAAUAGCCACUGCCCUCCUGCCUGGGCAAGGUAGCGAGACACUGUCUCU
rnacentral:SRP_RNA from 1 species